rnacentral:rRNA from 1 species
ACGUAUGGAUUAGAUAAUCGCUGAAAGCAUCUAAGUGAGAAACUAACCUCGAGAUGAGAUUUCCCAUUCGUCAGAAGUAAGACCCCUGAGAGACGAUCAGGUAGAUAGGCUAGAAGUGGAAGUGUAGUGAUGCAUGGAGCGGACUAGUACUAAUAGGUCGAGGACUUAACCAAG